UUCCAGCCCUAAAAGUUAGUGGGCUGCCCCUAGGUGGGCCUAAGGGUUGGCCCAAUGUAUGUAAACCCUGCUAUGUUGCCCUAAUCCCACCUCACAUUCACUCUUUCAGAACCAGCCGUCGCUCCUCCCUCUUCGUGCCGCUAGAGCUCUGCUAGGGUUGCCCUGAGGUCCUCCCCGAGCUAGCUCAAAGCUCCAGUCUUACUUCCCGCACGACUUCCUAACCCGUCUCCCGAACUGCUGUGCUCCACUACCUUUCUUGGGUUGCUACUCUCUUCUGCUAGCAUUUAACAAGAUGAGAGGGAGGUUCGUGAUGGAUCCGGGAGACGCAGCGGUGCGGCCUAGACUUCCCUGUCUGGAUGUCUUAGGAAUAGUUUCAGGGCCAUGAGGCCUUUUGUAUUAGUUGCCUUAGUGGCAACCUUUUUGCAAAACUGUUGCACCCCUUUUUAAAAUUUCCUUUUGCUUAGGACUAUGUGGUAUGCCUAAGUUUCUUUUAAGUGACUCCGGAUGACUGUAAUAGUUACCCUUCUUACGUUUCAUGUUUAUUCGAUUGGCUCUCGUUAUCAAAAUUUUAUGACGCUUUAUUUGGUAGAUUAAUCUAUUAAAAUGGGACGUCACACUUUUAUGGUAUCAGAGCAGUUCGUCCUUAGGAUGACCUGAGGUUGUGGGUUUGUCGUUCCUUGCGGGCGUAAGUAGUCAUGUUAAGUCGAGUUUGUCAGUGAAACCAAAAGUUUAGGAACAGAAAACGCCUUGAUAGAGUAAUGAGGGUGCACACUCAUGACUAGAUUAAAGGUUGUUUUCCUUUCUUAAUUCUGAUGGUUCGAGGAAAUAGGGGCGACAGACAAAAAGGGGUUCGUUGUCUGUAAGUGAUAGAUUGUUGCUGGGUAUGAUCUAGUUUGUCUUGCUGCGUCUCUGUGCUUUGUGUCUAGUGUUUACGGAGAUAAGGGGAUUGAGAUUUAACGUCUUGGACUAAUAAACUGGAGAAUAUGCUAGAGUUCCCAAAAUAAAGAUACUACAAGUUUUCUAAAGGGAGUGGAAUCAAAAGGGUAAUAAC